rnacentral:rRNA from 1 species
GACGAACGCUGGCGGCGUGCCUAAUACAUGCAAGUAGAACGCUGAAGGAGGAGCUUGCUUCUCUGGAUGAGUUGCGAACGGGUGAGUAACGCGUAGGUAACCUGCCUGGUAGCGGGGGAUAACUAUUGGAAACGAUAGCUAAUACCGCAUAAUAUUGACUAUUGCAUGAUAGUCAGUUGAAAGGUGCAACUGCACCACUACCAGAUGGACCUGCGUUGUAUUAGCUAGUUGGUGGGGUAACGGCUCACCAAGGCGACGAUACAUAGCCGACCUGAGAGGGGGGUCGGCCAAACUGGGACUGGGACACGGCCCAGACUCCUACGGGAGGCAGCAGUAGGGAAUCUUCGGCAAUGGCCGGAAGUCUGACCGAGCAACGCCGCGUGAGUGAAGAAGGUUUUCGGAUCGUAAAGCUCUGUUGUAAGAGAAGAACGAGUGUGAGAGUGGAAAGCUCACACUGUGACGGUAUCUUACCAGAAAGGGACGGCUAACUACGUG